UGAAUAGUUAUGAAACCCUGGAACCUCCACCAAGCAUAGCUAGAGUCAGCGACCAUGUUCCAUACAGAUCAAUUAUUCGGACACUAGUAUUAUAGGAAAACCUGCGUAUUUUAACUCAAUUUUUUUGCAAAUAAUACAUCUUACCUAUUUAUGCCUGCGUACCACUUUUGGACUUGGAAUGAUUUCUGGAAAGAAAGUUAUGGAGACAAAACCAACUGUGUCCGUAGACUGCAGACUUCAAUAAUUAUUACCAUUUUACGGACAGGGGCUCUAAAAAAUACACAGGCGCAAGAGCGAUAAUUUUGACCUCUUACAUAAACAUAUCAACCCUUACUCUAAUCAACAAAAUUGUCAGAGGAAAGACCUUCUUCUCCACAAGUAAAAGAAAAGGGCCAAGACUAGCACACUCAGAUUAUCAGUUUACGGAAGUGUACGGACCAUGUGUUUUACUUGAAAUUUGGUUUGAAAGUGCUAAACUCUAGUUAAACUGUGUGGAAAUUCACUCUUAAGGCUGUAAAUUGUGCCUGGGAAGUUGCAACUGAGGGAUAAUCAGGAUAGAUACUCCUUAUUAGACAAUUAGGUACAUGUAUGUUUAAGAAUGGCUUCUGAAAAAUUCUGUGUCUCUAAGACUGACUGUUUGAAAGCCUGCCCUGGCCCAAGCCCAUUUUGAAAUGAUUGAUAAGUGUGUUACUAUUAUCUUAUCAUCAUCAUCAUGUUUUAGAGCCUGUAGAUAUUCAACCACAGUCAGAUUAUGAGUCACAGGAUUCAAACAAGAAGAUUGACUGAAGAAAGUUAUAAUCCUACGAUAAUUAUGCUGCUUCAAUAGCCAAAUUAAAACCGAAGAAAAAUUGGCUUUCCUGUAUUUGGCAACACCCUAAAGACUGCUGCAUUACUGGAAGAAAAAGUGAUGGCGCCUCAGGUCACCACGUAG